GUCCUACGGGAGGCAGCAGUAGGGAAUCUUCCACAAUGGGCGAAAGCCUGAUGGAGCAACGCCGCGUGGGUGAAGAAGGUCUUCGGGUCGUAAAACCCUGUUGUUAGAGAAGAAAGUGCGUGAGAGUAACUGUUCACGUUUCGACGGUAUCUAACAAGAAAGCCACGGCUAACUACGUGCCAGCAGCCGCGGUAAUACGUAGGUGGCAAACGUUAUCCGGAUUUAUUGGGCGAAAAGGGAACGCAGGCGUGUUUUAAAGCUU
rnacentral:rRNA from 1 species